UACAGAGGUCUCAAGCGUUGUUCGGAUUCAUUGGGCGUAAAGGGUGCGUAGGUGGCAUGGUAAGUCGGAUGUGAAAUCCCGGGGCUCAACCCCGGAACUGCAUUCGAUACUGCUGCGCUAGAGUACUGGAGAGGAGAUUGGGAAUUUACGGUGUAGCAGUGAAAUGCGUAGAUAUCGAUAAGGAAGACCAGUGGGCGAAGGCGGAUCUCUGGACAGUUACUGACACUGAGCAGCGAAGGCCAGGGAGCAAACGGG
rnacentral:rRNA from 1 species